GAUACUCUACGUGCUACUGAGCUUAGGAGGGCUGCUUCUCGUCCUGAUGUUCGGAGGAUCUCUAGCUGGCAUCUACUUUGGAUGCCAGUACUAUAAACUGAAGAACAAGGGGAAGGAUGAGAUCUCAAGCAUGGAAGAGGGAUCUUCUACUGAUGAGGAACAAUCAUCUAGUUCCAAGAGAUCAAGUCCUGAGGAAUCAUGUGACAGUGAAGGGAGCCAAUCAGAUGAUGAAGAUUCUGAAUAACUCCCCUGUUAAAUUUACCUUUUCACUGUUAUGUGUUUGUUUUUUUAACUAAGAACAUCCCCCCUUAAUAAACAUUUUAAUAAGAUCUCC